CUUUCACUUGCUUCUCUCCUCUGGUCGAGAUGGAGAACGAACCAGGAAGUGUUUGCUGCACAGGUGGCAGGAGACUGUGGCAAGACUCCAUGCGGGACCCAUCUAGGGUUGGCUGGCUAGGUCAUCGAAGCAGCUGAAAAGCCCAUUGUGCCUCUACGUAAGCAACUUUCUCUAGCUGAAAAACCUUCGAUUGGAAACGUGCAGAGGAUUCACAAUGGAGUCUUUCGAUGAUUCGGUGACGCUUCAGCAUCUCGAUUGGUGUGUUCCCAUUGACGGUUCUGAUGAAGAAAGUUCCCUCAUUGAGCGAGGAUGAAGCCAACAUGGAACAGAUCUGAGUGAUGACCAAGCCCGUCCCAGAUGCUUGGAGAUGCUGUCUCACUUUCCAGUGGGGGCCACAGGUGUCUGACUAUGCUGCAGGUCACUUGGCUUCCAUGGCCUCAUCUUUGGAUUGCUGUCCUGAUUUCUGUGGCAUAUAUGGAUGAAGCCAACAUGGAACAGAUCUGAGUGAUGACCAAGCCCGUCCCAGAUAGUCUGGAUCGAACCUGGGCCUGGGAGGAUCUGCCAGGUGUUCUGCCUUCAAAACCAAAUCAGUAGAACUAAAGGGUUUCUCUCCUGUAUGAAUCCUCAUUGUGUAUUUAGAUUUGCACCUUUGGUAAAAUCUUGUACCACAUCAAGAGCAAAAUCUCUGGAGUUAUAAAAAAUCCUCUACAGCUCAGAAUUGUAUUCGGGUGUCUUCUUAAAAAUCCAGCACUUCCCAAUAAAAUAACUCAACUAA